AAACCUACUAAGUCAAAACUAAUGCACAUUUUUUUUCUAAUGCACUUUUUUUUCUUUCUAUUCUAAUAUUAAAUAAGUUUUAGAUAAUAAGGUUUUAUUAUAUUAUAAUGAGAAAUAACAAAGAUCUCAAAAAGGUCUAAUAUAUAUCCAUAAUAGAAUACCACUCACUAUUCUAACAUCAAGAUAUUAAUAAAGUUCACUUAAAUACUUCUCCUUCCUCUCAAAUCAAGAUUAACUUAGUUGUAACUAAUUAUAUUUUAUAUAAUAAAUAAUAAUUAAUAAUUUAAAAGUAAUAUAAUCAAUAGAUAAUUACUUGACUUUUAUAUGUAUAUUAUUUAUGAAAGGAUGAGUAAAUCAGGCGUGAUAAAAUAAAGUUUAUAUUAGAGACAAACAAUUUAGAUAUCCAAUAAUUAAUCUAAUUAUUUCUCUGAAUACCCGUUUAUUAUUCGGAUCACAAAUAACCUAAUGUUAUAUUUUGUAUUGCGUAUACUUUUCUACUAUCCCAAUUUUAAUAUUUAAAAAAUUAAAGAGAAAGCGUGGAGUAAAGUUAGGUGUUUUCAUGGAAACAUUAAAUUGGAGAGUUUAUUUGGCGUGAGUUAAGUUGAAGCUUUUAAACGCUAGCGGAUUUUUGGUUACGUUCUAAAAUUUAAUAUGGUGAGUUUCGAUUUAAUGUUUUGAAUUGAAAGGUAAUUUCUGCUUAGGUUGUCUGUGUUUGGUUGGAUCUAUUCACAGUCGCAUAUUGAGUAUCAAUUGGUAAAUUUAUUUUUAAUAUUAAAUCUCUCCACUCUCUAUUUGACAUUUUAUCAUAAAACCUAUAGUCAAAGCUAAUGCACUUUUUUUUCUAAUGCACUUAUUUUUCUAUUCUAUUGUAUAAAUAAGUUUAGAUAAUAAAGGUUUUAUUAUAUUAUAAUGAGAAAUAACAAAGAUCUCAAAGGUCUAAUAUGAUAUCCAUAAUAGAUACACUCACUAUUCUAACAUCAAGAUAUUAAUUAAAGUGUCACUUAAAUACUUCUCCUUCCUCUCAAAUUCAAAGAUAAACAUUACCUUAGUUGUAACUAAUUAUUAUUUUUAUAUAAUAAAUAAUAAUUAAUAAUUUAAAAAGUAAUAUAAUCAAUAGAAUUAAUUACUUGACUUUACUAUUGUAUAUUAUUUAUGGAAGGAUGAAUAAUAUCAGGCCAUUAAUAAAAUAAAGUAUAUAUAUAUAUAAGACAAACAAAUUUAGAUAUCCAAUAAUUAAUCAAAUUAUUUCUAUGAAUACCCGUUUAUUAUUCGGAUCACAAAUAAACCUAAUGUUAUAUUUUUAUGCGUAUACUUUUCUACUAUCCCAAUUUUAACAUUUACAAAAAUUUAAAAGAGAAAGCGGAGUACAAGUUAGGUGUUUUCAUGGAAACAUUAAAAUUGGAGAGUAUAUUUGGGUUGUGAGUUAAGUUGAAGCUUUUAAACGCUAGCGGUAUUUUUGUUAGGUUCUUAAAAUUUAAUAUUGCUGAUGUUUCAGUUUAAUAUUUUGAAUUGAAAGGUAAUAUUGCUUAGGUUGUCUGUGUUUGGUUGGAUCUAUUCGCAGUCGGCAUAUUGAGUAUCAAUUGGUAAAUUUAUUUUUAAUAUUAAAUCUCUCCACUCUCUAUUUAACAUUUUUAUCAUAAAACCUACUAAGUCAAAACUAAUGCAUAUUUUUUUUUCUAAUGCACUUUUUUUCUUUCUAUUUUCCUAUAUAAAAUAAGUUUAGAUAAUAAAGGUUUUAUUAUAUUAUAAUGAGAAAUAACAAAGAUCUCAAAAGCUCUAAUAUAAUAUCCAUAAUAGAAUACCACUCACUAUUCUAACAUCAAGAUAUUAAUAAAGUGCCACUUAAAUACUUCUCCUUCCUCUCAAAUCAAACAUUACCUUAGUUGUAACUAAUUAUUAUUUUUAUAUAAUAAAUAAUAAUUAAUAAUUUAAAAAGUAAUAUAAUCAAUAGAAU
rnacentral:lncRNA from 1 species